CAAUAGCGUAUAUUAAAGUUGUUGCGGUAAAAAAGCUCGUAGUUGGAUUUCUACCGAAGAUAGCCGGUCGGGUCUUCGACCUUGUAUCUGGUUUUGUCUUUGGUAUCCUCAUAGGGAACGUUUCUGCGCUUUAUUGCGUGGUGCGGUAUCUACGACUUUUACUUUGAGGAAAUUAGAGUGUUCACGGCAGGCAAACGCCUUGAAUAUAUUAGCAUGGAAUAAUAACAUAGGAUCUUCGUCCUAUUUUGUUGGUUUCUAGGGCUAAGAUAAUGAUUAAUAGGGAUAAUUGGGGGCAUCUGUAUCAACGCGUCAGAGGUGGAAUUCUUGGAUUGCGUUGCGACAAACUACUGCGAAAGCAUUUGCCAAGGAUGUUUUCAUUGA
rnacentral:rRNA from 1 species